rnacentral:rRNA from 1 species
GAGGUUUAACGGCCGCGGUAUUCUGACCGUGCAAAGGUAGCAUAAUCACUUGUUUCUUAAUUAGGGACUAGAAUGAACGGCAAAACGAGGGUUUAACUGUCUCUUAUUUCUUAUCAGUGAAAUUGACCUUCCCGUGAAGAGGCGGGAAUAUACAAAUAAGACGAGAAGACCCUAUGGAGCUUUAAUUUUCUAACUCAUCUCUUUCUUUUUUAUAUCUAAUGAACUAACACCUAGACUUUGAGUUAAAAAUUUCGGUUGGGGCGACCUCGGGAGAAUAAAAUAACCUCCGAAAGAUUUUAGCCUAGACUAACAAGUCAAAGCACAUACUUUAAUCAAAUUGACCCAAUCACUUGAUCAACGAACCAAGUUACCCUAGGGAUAACAGCGCCAUCUUAUUUGAGAGUUCCUAUCGAAAAUAGGGUUUACGAACCUCGAUGUUGGAUCAGGGUAUCCUAA